UACAGAGGUCCCGAGCGUUAGGCGGAAUCACUGGGCUUAAAGCGUGUGUAGGCGGAUUUGUAAGUACCUUGUGAAAUCCCACAGCUUAACUGUGGAACUGCUUGGUAUACUGCUUAUCUUGGGCCACUUAGGGGUUACCGGAACAAACGGUGGAGCGGUGAAAUGCGUAGAUAUCGUUUGGAACGCCAAUGGUGAAAACAGACUGCUGGGAGUGUGCUGACGCUGAGACACGAAAGCCAGGGGAGCAAACGGG
rnacentral:rRNA from 1 species